rnacentral:rRNA from 1 species
UACAGAGGUCUCAAGCGUUGUUCGGAUUCAUUGGGCGUAAAGGGUGCGUAGGCGGCGCGGUAAGUCGGGUGUGAAAUCUCGAGGCUCAACCUCGAGCUGUCGGUGGAAACUGUCUGGCUAGAGUCCGGAAGAGGAGAGUGGAAUUCCUGGUGUAGCGGUGAAAUGCGCAGAUAUCAGGAAGAACACCUAUGGCGAAGGCAGCUCUCUGGGACGGUACUGACGCUGAGACGCGAAAGCGUGGGGAGCAAACAGG